UCACCGGAAAGCCUUGUAUUUUAGUCUCAACAUCCUCCAGUGAGUAUAGUUUCUUGAAAUAAUUAACCGCAAGCGUCUCAAGCUCAUGUGCAUCCGAUACCCAUUGAUUCUCGUCAUUCUUCAGCAUCUCAACACGGUUUCGCCUGAUAAUUAUUGACAUAUGAAAGAACUUUGUGUUCUUAUCUCCAUGAAGCACCCACUUCUCCCGUGAUUUCUGAAACCAAAUAUGUUCUUCUUGUGCAAGUGCUAUCUCAAACUCCUUAAGUAACUCACCCUC
rnacentral:lncRNA from 1 species